rnacentral:lncRNA from 1 species
UAAGUUUGUCUUAUAUUGCAUUAAUUAUUCCAGGAACUUGAGUAGGGGUAUAUUCUGGACUGGGCUGGGCUAACCAAAAUUAUUAGGGAAAACAGGCUAAAAAUGAAAAUAUGUUAAAGAAAAUAACAGAUGUACAAAAAUCAGUUUCAAAAGAUGCCCAAUGAGGGUAUUUUGGGAAUAAUCCCAUUUUCUUGCCUUGGAAAACACACAACAGACCCCUACCUUAUAAGUGAUGCCUUUCCUUUAUUCAGCAGAGGGAGGCACACUCCAUAAGACUGAAAAAUGUUCUGCAUUAAUUUGGGUCAAAACUGCUUGGGAUUACACUCUUGGAGUACACUAUCAAAGUCAUCUUUUACAUCUCAAAACCUCUUGUUUUGACCUGGGUUCAAAGAAAUGGUAUAAGGAAGUCAAUUGCUGUGUUGAUCUGUUGAAGUGCAUCUUCUUAUGCUACUAAUUCUCUUAGUUUUCUUUUGCUCUAUUUUUUCCAGGUAUUUCUUGGAUCUCCUUAGUGUAUUAAGUGCAAAAUUUGAAGCCAUGUAACUGAGAUAGAAUUCAAUACCAAUGAUGUUUAUUGAAUAAUGUUUCAUUUUCUAAGAUCGUGCAAAUCUGUGUUAUUCUAGUCUCGUCGGAUAUGUUUAUUUGUUCA